CUGUCUUCCGAAUAGUUUUCCUUAAGCAGCCUCCGCUCCUCGCUGCAAAGGGGGAAGCCAAGGACCUCACUCUCCCGCUCCCACUCCCGCUCCCGCUUGACAGAUCGGCUUCUAGAAGCCCAGAGAGGAAGAGUGACCUGCGCAAGUUAGCACAGACUGAAUACCGAGAGAGAGCCCGGAUCAGGCACUGAGUCCCCUACCUCGAGGACCUGCGCAGUCUGAUGCGAAGGCUCCAGAGGACGCCCGGAGGAGUCUACCAGGACUUGUCCCAGAAGCAGAUUUGUGAGGACAGGUCUCCCAGAUGGGGAAUCGGACCUCGAGACUUGUUGAGGGGCCCCGGGGAAGGUGACCGCACUGUGGGCUCGCAUCAUUUCCUCUUUCUGGAAAUAAAGGAGGUGCUCCCAUGUGGCUGAAUCAGGGGCCUCACACAUGGUAAAGUGUGCACUCUACCAGGUCUAAUCUGAAACUGGACACCAUCCACAGAGGACAAGGAGAGACUGAAAAAGAGAUUGUGUGCUGAAUUGUGUUCCUUCCUCUCAAGUUCAUAUGGGGCAGCCAUCACCCUCAGUACCUCAGGAAGUGACUGUCUACAGAAGUGGGGCCUUCACAGAGGGGAUUAAGCUUAUCUGAGUCCCAUUGAUGGCCCUCAUCCAGUGUGACUGAUGUCCCUAGAAGAAAAUGUUGAAAGACAGAGAAGAUACUGGAGGAAGAGGACUUUUUUUUUUUUUAAGAUUUUAUUUAUUAAUGAGAAAGAUAGGAGGAGAGAAAGAACCAGACAUCACUCUGAUACAUGUGCUGCUGGGGAUUGAACUCAGGACCUCAUGCUUGAGAGUCCAAUGCUUUAUCCACUGCACCACCUCCCGGACCACAGAAGAGGACUUUCUACAAGCCAAGAAAAUGGACUUCAGAAGAAACCAACCCAGCCGUCAGCCCAGACUUCCAGACCUCCAGAAUUAUGAGAAAUCUCUGUCACUUUAGCCAUCCAAUUUGUGAUCUUUUGUUUUCCAGCCCUAAAAAACUAGUGUAGAUGAUGAGCUAUACCCAUGGGAGACUACUUUGUUCACUAGUUUCCAAGGCUUCCCAAAGCCCUGCAAGUGUUUGUUGUAUAAAUAAAGAGACUCUGCUUUACGAAGCUAUUGGAAACAUUCUGAUGAAACAUAUUAUCGGUCCUGGCACAUAUUAGGACAAUAAACAGCACUUGAAAAUGCAGCAAAACAGUAUUUGGAGGAUUACAAACUGAAAUUUCAAUUUCUUUACCCUCAAUUUCUAUCUUGUUGUGACUACAGAUGCUGUUUUCCUCAACUAGCUACCCACCCAGCUGUGUCACUCUUUGCCUCUGGGGAAGGAGACAGAAAAUCUGGAUCAGACAUAAACUGUUCCUUGGUCUUGAAUUCAAAAUAGAAUUUGGACUGGGGAGCCAGCAUAAUGGUUAUAAAAUAAUGUUAUGCCUGAGGCUCUGAGUUCCCAGGUUCAAUCCCUAAUAGCACCAUAGCCAGAGCUGAGCAGUGCCCUAGAGAAAGAAAGAAAGAAAGAAAGAAAGAAAGAAAGAAAGAAAGAAAGAAAGAAAGAGACAGAGAGAGAGAAGGAAGGAAGCAAGAGGGAGGGAGGGAGGAAGGAAGGAAGGAAAAAGGAAAGAAAGAAAGAAAGAAAGAAAGAAAAGAAUAAAAGAAAGAAAGAAAAAAAGAAAAGAAAGAGAGAGAAAGAAAGGAAAGAAAGAAAGAAAGAAAGGAAGGAAGGAAGGAAGGAAGGAAGGAAGGAAGAAAGGAAGGAAGGAAAAAGAAAAGAAUGGGUGGUAGUGCAGCAGGUUAAGCGCCAAGUGGCGCAAAGUGCAAGGACCUGUGUUAAGGAUCCCGGUUCAAGCCCCCGGCUCCCCACCUUCAGGGGAGUCACUUCACAGGUGGUGAAGCAAGUCUGCAGGUGUCUAUCUUUCUCUCCUCCCUCUGUCUUCCCUUCUUGUCUCCAUUUCUCUCUGUCCUAUUCAACAACGACGACAUCAAUAACAACAACAAUCAAAACUACAAUAGGGAGUCGGGCGGUAGAGCAGCGGGUUAAGCGCACGUGGCGCAAAACACAAGGACCUGCCUAAGAAUGCCAGUUCGAGCCCCCGGCUCCCCACCUGCAAGGGAGUCACUUCACAGAUGGUGAAGCAGAUCUUCAGGUGUCUGUCUUUCUUCCCCCUCUCCGUUUUCCCCUCCUCUUUUUAUUUCUCUCUGUCCUAUCCAACAACGAUGACAUCAAUAACAAUAAUAACUACAACAAUUUAAAAAAAAAAACCCAAGGGCAACAAAAGGGAAUAAAUAUUUAAAAAAAGAAAGAAGAUUUUUAAAAAAGAAAAGAAUCAAAGAAGAAAGAGAAUUUGUAAGUCCACAGCCCAGAUGAUUGCCAGAAAGUCAAAGCAUUUUCAUGUGUCACUGCCUUAGAUAGGAGAAUAAAGGUCUUUUGGAAUUUUGGAAACAAAGAGGCUACACCACCAUUAGCCCAAGUUGAAUAGUAUUCUGAUAUCUCUCUCCCAUUAAAAGUAAAUAAAGAAAGUAUUAAAAAAAAUAAAGAAGCAAUACUUGUUUUAAGAAUGUCACAUAUCCAUCCCUUAACAAUAUAUUAGUUGAGGCUCAGCUUCUGAACUAUUAGUAAAAUGAA